UACGAAGGGGGCUAGCGUUGUUCGGAAUUACUGGGCGUAAAGCGCGCGCAGGCGGCUAUCCAAGUCAGUGGUGAAAGCCCGGAGCUCAACUCCGGAACUGCCAUUGAAACUGUUUAGCUGGAGUAUGAGAGAGGUGAGUGGAAUUCCCAGUGUAGAGGUGAAAUUCGUAGAUAUUGGGAAGAACACCGGUGGCGAAGGCGGCUCACUGGCUCAUUACUGACGCUCAGGCGCGAUAGCGUGGGGAUCAAACAGG
rnacentral:rRNA from 1 species